rnacentral:rRNA from 1 species
CCUACGGGGCGCAGCAGUGGGGAAUAUUGGGCAAUGGGCGCAAGCCUGACCCAGCAACGCCGCGUGAAGGAAGAAGGCUUUCGGGUUGUAAACUUCUUUUCUUGGGGACGAAGAAAGUGACGGUACCCAAGGAAUAAGCCACGGCUAACUACGUGCCAGCAGCCGCGGUAAUACGUAGGUGGCAAGCGUUAUCCGGAUUUAUUGGGUUUAAAGGGUGCGUAGGCGGAAUGCCAAGUCAGCGGUAAAAUCGCGGGGCUCAACCUCGCUCCGCCGUUGAAACUGGCGUUCUUGAGUGGGCGAGAAGU